GGAGGCAUAGCUCAGCUGGGAGAGCACUUGCUUCACACGCAAGGGGUCACUGGUUCGAGUCCAGCUGUCUCCACCA
rnacentral:tRNA from 1 species